AAUACCCUCUGGGGACAGGUGAAAUUCCUUACCGGCGGUAAAGCCCGCGAGCCGAAAGGCUGAUCUGGUGAAAGUCCAGAGCCGACAGUAUAGUCUGGAUGGAAAGAGGAGCUA
rnacentral:ncRNA from 2 species